CCACCAUCUUCUGUGAUGUCAGACUAACAGUAUGUAGGUAGCUGUCUAAAGAAUGACAUUGUUCAUCCCUGAUAUGGCUGGUCAUCUGUUUUUGCUCAUCUUCCUUUUCGGUGAGUUAUUUUUCCGUUCCAUCAUCUGUUUGUGCUACAGGAUAUUCCAUUCUUCUAUCCCCUCUUUUAGUCUUUUACUUUAGGAACUCUUAAUCUUUCAACAUUGAUCAUCCUAUUGAUUUUUAAUUUCUCUGUCAUUAUUUGACAUUUUGUUCAGAUAAGAAUGACCACUGCUUGAUAACAUGGCUGUGAAUGCAUUACAGACUCUUCUGCUUCGCCAGCUUGUGUAAAGUGAUUCCAUCUCAUAUUUUCUUAUUUUUCAUAAUGGCAAAAAGAGCAUGAUAAUGACCAAUUGUGUUAUGUCUAGAUACCUUCCAGUACCUCAAAGCCAAAGGUCAGUAUCAUUAUUAUGAAUUUUAAGUUGCAAUAUGUAACUUUUUGGGCUACCAGACUAAACAACGGGUUACCAAAAUAUUAAAAUAAUGAUUGACAUAUUUUCAAUUAAAACGUUUUUUUGAUGAAUUAAUCCCUACAAUUUCAUCCUUCCAUGAGAUGCUGUAUACACUGGGUAUACAAAACAUGACAUAACAUGACAAAGACUGACCAGGAAAAUCCAGGUGAAAGAUAUGAUCCCUUAUUGAUGUCACUUGUUAAAGCCACUUAAAUCAGUAAAUAGAUCAAGGGGAGGAGACAGGUUAAAGACAUGGAUUGUGUAUGUCUGCCAUUCAGAGGGGAAAAGGGCAAGACACAAUAUUUAAGUGCCUUUGACCGGGUAUGGUAGUAGGUGCCAGAACUGCAAUAGCUCAACAGUUUCCUGUGUGUAUCAAGGAUGGUCCACCACCCUAAGGACAUCCUGCCAACUUGACACAACUGUGGGAAGGAUUGGAGUCAAACACAAAAAAAUGGUCUAUUCAUUAUUCCAUUUGACUGCUCAAUCCACUAUGGUGACAGAACGGAAUGCCAACAAAAAAAGCCUCUAUUUACAUGUUGCAUAUGAGUGCAUUUCAGACUUUCACACUUAAAAUUUGAGUUUAAGGCUCGUAUGAAUGUCCUGCUAAUGAAAUGUUAGUGUCAUCAACUGCAUUAUACUUAACAAUAACUGCAACUUCAACCAGUAAAAUGGCUCUUUGGCUAUCUUUUGCUGCAGCCUAUGGCCAUGUCAGUGAGUGUUUAGCAUUCUAGCUAACAACUUGCUGCAUCCAAAAUAGUUAUUUUACAAAGAUCACAACCAAAUAGAAUCUUAGUGAUUGUUCAAGCAAGAAUCAAAACAUCAUUGUCAGCGUAGGAGAGCCCCCCAAAAGGUUAUUUUGUUUAGAAGUAAUAAAAACGUAAAUCUAGGCUAUGUUGAACGGGCGCAGAUGGCGUGGCUUUCUUACUGCAGCCAAGAGUCCCGCUCAUCUGUACGUGACGUCAGUGUGUCGUUCACUGGAAAGUAUGGAACGUCAUUUUGGUCUUUGCAUUUCAAAAAAGAUACAUGUGAAAUAACACUGUUUGAUGCAUCAAAGAAGCUUGUUGACCAAUCAGGACCUAGAUAUGACUGUACGUCACAAUCAUUUAACACGUUUGUUACUUCUUUACGUAGUUAUUACAGAUUGAUUACACUAUCACUUGUAUUUCAUAUGUCACAGUGAUUCACCGAUAUGUGUGAUGCUGGUAAAGUUUUGUCUUCUGCACCUGCCGCUGCAGCACAAGCGCAGACACACCUCCCCAAGCUCUGGGACAGUUCUGGUCAGAAAGAAAUCCAUCACUUCCGUUUGUUUGGCUGUGCCCAUUUAGCAACGUUCCAAAAUGAGCAUAUGUCCUGGUGAAAGGAUGAAAAUAAAACACAUUUGCUUAGAACAAUAAUACAUCUUUAAUGAAAGCCAUGUUGUCCUUAAUCUUUUGUUUAAAUGUUGGCAACAGUUUUACAAAAGCAAAAUGCCCAUCGAAGCCGAGGAUUAUUGUCUGAUAACUCUCUCCUAAGGGCUGUUCCUGGCACGGGUUCUCAUUGUUUAUUGCUUAAAUAGACAACAGCAUCUUAAUUGUUUUUCCCUUUCAAACUCAUAUAAUAUUAAGUUGUACAUUAUCGGUAUGAGUAGUUAAACAUUGAAAAUGAAUUUACAACUCAAUUUAAAAAGACACUCCAUCAUCCCUCUGAUGUCACAGAUCUUCCGUAUCCCAGUCUGACAGUGAUUCCUGCAGUCAUCAAAGAGAGAGACUCAGUUCAGCUGAACUGUCAGACUCCUCCAUCUGUCUCUGAGUGUUACUUCAAAAUGGCUGGGCAAGUGGAAUUCACCCUUCCAUCAGCCUGUCAACAGACACUCACAGGAACAUUAUUGGUGAGGUGGACAGGUCAGAGUUCACCAGCUGAGGUCAAAAUGCAAUGUCAGUACAGUGAAACAGGUUCACAGUUUAGAUCCAUAUUCAGUGAGCCUUCAACAGUCACAAUUCAGGGUAAGAAGCCUAUUUGAAUGGUUGUAAACAAUGUACUGUUGUUCCAUCAUUACCAUAUUCCUCUUGGGAUAUGUUAUCAUACUGUGUGUUGUCAUAAACUGUUACAUGAAGCAAUCAGGCAAUAUAUUAUAUAUCCUUAAUUUCCAUACUGUCGCUGCAUAAAGUAAUUGACUCAAGAUCCUUAAGUCUGAAAUAACAAGGAGGUACAUUUCUCAAAACCACAAAAUGCUAAAUUCUCCUAUUCUCACAGACCUUCCUCGGCUGACAGUGAGUUCUACAGUCAUCAGAGAGACAGAAUCAGUUCAGCUGAGUUGUGAGACUCCUCCAUCUCUCCUUGUGUUUCACUGUUACUUCAACAUAGAGGGGGGGGGGGGAAUCUUCCAGACUCAUCCUGUACUCAGACACUCACAGGAACAGAGCUGCUCAAGAGGGCAGAUCAAACGUUUCCAGAUGUGGUCAAAGUGACGUGUUACUAUGCUGUAGGGAGGUAUCACAUAUCUCCUUUAAGUGACCCUGUCUCAGUCACUGUUCAGGACUCACCUCCCAGGCUAACAGUCAAUUCUACAGUCAUCAGAGAGAGAGACUCAGUUCAGCUGAGCUGUCAGACUCCUCCAUCUGUCUCUGUGUCUCAGUGUUACUUCUACACAGACGGGAGAGAUCCUAAACCCUCACCCUGUACGAGUUCACUAACAGGGACUGAGCUGCUCUCCUGGGCAGGUCAAAGUUCAUCUGCUGAGAUCAAACUGAGAUGUUUUUACACAGUAGAAACUCACUAUACAUCGAUGCACAGUGGUUCUGUCUCUGUUACUAUUCUUGAGCCACUUGAUUUCCUGUGGCGUCACAUCCUCACUGUGUUGGUCCUACUGGCUACUUGUGGAGUACUUAUACACUAUGUCAUCUCCCAUCAAUGCCCAAACGCUAUUCCAUAGAGAAGCAGGAGGGUGGACCAGAGAAAUGAAGACUUUUCGUUGACAGUGUGCUGAAUCACCGUGCAAACCUACAAACACACAGACACACCCACAGACACGCAAACUUAUUUUUACAUUUAAAAAAUAAAUAGUUUUACGUUUUUUGCAUCUUUGAGAUUUCUGUGAUUUUUCUUUUGAAGUUGUGUGCAUGAUGGUGUUGCUAGGCAAGUUGAAAAC